UACGUAGGUGGCGAGCGUUGUCCGGAUUUAUUGGGUUUAAAGGGUGCGUAGGCGGUCUUUUAAGUCAGUGCUGAAAUAUCCCGGCUUAACCGGGAGGGUGGCAUUGAUACUGAAGGACUUGAGUUCAGUCGAGGUAGGCGGAAUUGACGGUGUAGCGGUGGAAUGCGUAGAUAUCGGGAGGAACACCAGUGGCGAAGGCGGCUACCUGGCCCACUCUUGACGCUGAGGCGCGAAAGCUAGGGGAGCAAACGGG
rnacentral:rRNA from 1 species